rnacentral:rRNA from 1 species
AACGAACGCUGGCGGCAUGCCUAACACAUGCAAGUCGAACGAGACCUUCGGGUCUAGUGGCGCACGGGUGCGUAACGCGUGGGAACCUGCCCUCAGGUUCGGAAUAACCCCCCGAAAGGGGUGCUAAUACCGGACAAUGUCUUCGGACCAAAGAUUUAUCGCCUUUGGAUGGGCCCGCGUUGGAUUAGCUAGUUGGUAGGGUAAAAGCCUACCAAGGCGACGAUCCAUAGCUGGUCUGAGAGGAUGAUCCGCCACACUGGGACUGAGACACGGCCCAGACUCCUACGGGAGGCAGCAGUGGGGAAUAUUGGACGAUGGGCGAAAGCCUGAUCCAGCAAUGCCGCGUGAGUGAUGAAGGCCUUAGGGUUGUAAAGCUCUUUUACCCGGGAUGAUAAUGACAGUACCGGGAGAAUAAGCUCCGGCUAACUCCGUG